GAGCCAGGAUCCACCCCUUCCCAGACCUCAUUUAAGGGUUGGCAGUGGAAGCAAGGGUAUUUUGCUGGAGAUCCCUGCGUACCUGAGGCCUGCUAAGGCUGUUCUUUCAAGACCAAAACCCAUGCAAUGUCUGCAUUUGUGACCUCUGCUUGGGUGCAGCAAAACAGCUCUGGAGGCUCCCAGUUUGGGCACAAACUGUGUUGGAUUUUAUCAAAACUCUGCAAACAUCUGGACCAGAAGAAGAAAUGAAAAGAUGCUUGUGGUUUAAGCACACUUACAUCUCCAAGUCUUGGCUCCCUGGGAAGCAGGGAAUGGCACAUGGGAAGUGCAGCCCUCUUAUUUGUCUGAGGAUAGAAAGCUGGAGAAGUAAUGUAUUUGAAUGAAUGCAAAUUACUGAGAAAGGAAAUGGCAGUGCCAGAAUCUGAAGUAAACAGCCUUGUUGAAGUCUUCCCAUCUAGCAAAGUGGGAUCACUCCCAUCUUCAGUUUAAAAAGCUAAAUAAAUAAUGAAGCUAGAAAUUUGACUCUUUGACACCAGUGCAGAGCCAGCCCGCUGGCUGCUUUUCUCCGUGUGCUCUUUUGGCAGGAUUGCUUCAUCAUUAAAAAAUGAAGGCUCAUUUCAUCCGACGGGCUGCCAACAGCCUAAGCAACAAGACAGCCCCUCUGUAAGCUUAUCCAAAAUGAAUCAAACACCACAUUACUUAGUUUCAGUAUUUCUAAAGAUGUCACAGCAUGAACUGAAAUGAAUUGCAUCUAAAGGACAUAGUACCGAGUAAGAACAGAUUUUUAAAAAUCUCCUUUAAAAUUUAGGCCUUUUUUUUUCCCCUUUUUUUCAAGCCUAGCAGCAGUGUAGAAUUGCAGAUGGAGCAGCUUCCUGCUGCUCACACCUCCGCUUCGCCUGGGAACAGCAGGAGCGCUCACCCGCGCUGGCAGCUGCACACUUGUAUUUAGUACAUGAUUUUUUUGGUCAGGUUUGUCGUGAAGCUGCUCAGAUCAUGUUCUCCCUUCUUGGUGUGAGGAACUUGAAGACCUUUCCCGCUAGUGUUUAUUCCCUGUGGUGUCCCAGGCCACGCAACCACUGCUCCUAAUGCAGUUCUGGCUACGAGCCUGCCCUGAUGCCUGUCAGUGCUGCAAACCUUCUGCCAUCUUCUUAGGUUAAGUUCUCUGGAUGGCUGUCACCUGCAGGAUACUGGGGAGAAAGCAGUGCAGCUGAAAAGAUGUUCUGUGAUGUAACUGGUCCAUGGAAGUCAAGCCCACGUGGCCUCCUGAAAACUCUUCUCAGGCUUCUGGCUUCCCUUGCUGUCAGUCCUUUUGAGGCAGAGGUGAAACAAAGCCGUUACCAUUUCUACAACUUGGACAACAGCUCCAGUUCAGAGAAACCGCUUGGGUGUGUUACUAUCUAAGUAACUGAUUUAUUAUUUAUAACACACAAAGCCUGGUUGCAUCUACAAACAGCUGCACUGGCGUGUUUCUGAAAUGCAGAAGUUGGGGAGGCUGAUGGAGAGCUCAUGAAUCAUUCAGAGGGCAGCAGCGGUGCUGCUGUAGGGGCUGCCCCAACUGAUGCCAUCCCCACCCUCCUGUGCUUUCUGCUGGUUUUGCCAUCGUAUCAUUGAAAUCCUGCCCCCUCCAAAAAAAACCUGACCUGCUUUACACGGUCAGACACUGAUCAAAGGUAUAGUGCAGUGAAAUAAAUAAAAAUUGUAGGUUUUUAAAAUGCUCAGAAAUACUUUUUUUUCAUGAUAAUGCUAGCAUAGCCUCAGUAAAACAGAGCAAACAGGUGCAUACAGUACUGCAGUUACUUCAGUUACUACUGAAAUGUUGUAAUCAGCACACUGAGUGCAAAUCUCAUGGAAUCACUGCACCAAAAAAAAAGAAUGGGUUCCAUUAUUCUGAUGUAUUUAUUGCAAAGU